UACGUAGGGAGCGAGCGUUGUCCGGAGUUACUGGGCGUAAAGCGCGCGCAGGCGGCGGUGCUGGCCCGGCGUGAAAGCCCCCGGCUCAACUGGGGAGGGUCACGCGAUACUGCUCGACUUGAAGGCAGGAGAGGGAAGUGGAAUUCCUGGUGUAGCGGUGAAAUGCGCAGAUAUCAGGAGGAACACCAGUAGCGAAGGCGGCUCGCUGGGCCAUUCCUGACGCUGAGACGCGAAAGCUAGGGGAGCGAACAGG
rnacentral:rRNA from 1 species